rnacentral:rRNA from 1 species
AAGUCGACCGCCUGGGGAGUACGGCCGCAAGGUUAAAACUCAAAUGAAUUGACGGGGGCCCGCACAAGCGGUGGAGCAUGUGGUUUAAUUCGAUGCAACGCGAAGAACCUUACCUGGCCUUGACAUCCAGAGAACUUAGCAGAGAUGCUUUGGUGCCUUCGGGAACUCUGAGACAGGUGCUGCAUGGCUGUCGUCAGCUCGUGUUGUGAAAUGUUGGGUUAAGUCCCGCAACGAGCGCAACCCUUAUCCUUUGUUGCCAGCGGUUCGGCCGGGAACUCAAAGGAGACUGCCGGUGAUAAACCGGAGGAAGGUGGGGAUGACGUCAAGUCAUCAUGGCCCUUACGGCCAGGGCUACACACGUGCUACAAUGGCGCAUACAAAGAGAAGCGACCUCGCGAGAGCAAGCGGACCUCAUAAAGUGCGUCGUAGUCCGGAUUGGAGUCUGCAACUCGACUCCAUGAAGUCGGAAUCGCUAGUAAUCGUAGAUCAGAAUGCUACGGUGAAUACGUUCCCGGGCCUUGUACACACCGCCCGUCACACCAUGGGAGUGGGUUGCAAAAGAAGUAGGUAGCUUAACCUCCGGGAGGGCGCUUACCACUUUGUGAUUCAUGACUGGGGUGAAGUCGUAACAAGGUAACCAAGGGCGAAUUCCAG